GAUGAACGCUGGCGGCGUGCUUAACACAUGCAAGUCGAACGAAGAAGCCCUGCUUGCUGGGUGGAUUAGUGGCGAACGGGUGAGUAACACGUGAGUAACCUGCCCUUCACUCUGGGAUAAGCCUGGGAAACUGGGUCUAAUACCGGAUAGGAGCGCCUACCGCAUGGUGGGUGUUGGAAAUAUUUCUCGGUUUUGUGUGGACUCGCGGCCUUUCAGCUUGUUGGGGAGAAAGUGGCUCACCAAGGCGACGACGGGUAGCCGGCCUGAGAGGGGGACCGGCCACACUGGGACUGGGACAGGGCCCAGACUCCAACGGAAGGCAGCGGUGGGGAAUAUGGAACAAUGGGCGAAAGCCUGAUGAAGGGACGCCGGGUGGGGGAUGACGGCCUUCGGGUUGUAAACCUCUUUCCGUGGGAAAGAAGCGUUAGUGACGGUACCUGGAGAAGAAGCACCGGCUAACUACGUG
rnacentral:rRNA from 1 species